rnacentral:rRNA from 1 species
AUUGAACGCUGGCGGCAGGCCUAACACAUGCAAGUCGAACGGUAACAGGAAGCAGCUUGCUGCUUUGCUGACGCGUGGCGGACGGGUGAGUAAUGUCUGUGAAACUGCCCGAUGGCGGGGGUUAACUACUGGAAACGGUAGCUAAUACCGCAUAACGUCUCAAGACCAAAGAGGGGUACCUUAGGGCCUCUUUCCAUUGGAUGUGCCCAGAUGGGAUUAGCUAGUAGGUGGGGUAACGGCUCACCUAGGCGACGAUCCCUAGCUGGUCUGAGAGGAUGACCAGCCACACUGGAACUGAGACACGGUCCAGACUCCUACGGGAGGCAGCAGUGGGGAAUAUUGCACAAUGGGCGCAAGCCUGAUGCAGCCAUGCCGCGUGUAUGAAGAAGGCCUUCGGGUUGUAAAGUACUUUCAGCGGGGAGGAAGGGAGUAAAGUUAAUACCUUUGCUCAUUGACGUUACCCGCAGAAGAAGCACCGGCUAACUCCGUG